rnacentral:sRNA from 1 species
AGCAGCCGCGGUAAUUCCAGCUCCAAUAGCGUAUAUUAAAGUUGUUGCAGUUAAAAGCUCGUAGUUGAAUUUCGGGACCAAUAUGUUGGUCGUGCCUCGGUACGUACUGGCAUUAUUGAUUUCUCCCUUCUGAUGAACCAUGAUGCCAUUAAUUUGGUGUUGUGGGGAAUCAGGACUGUUACUUUGAAAAAUUAGAGUGUUUAAAGCAGGCUCACGCUUGAAUACAUUAGCAUGGAAUAAUGAAAUAGGACGUUUGAUUCUAUUUUGUUGGUUUCUAGGAUCGACGUAAUGAUUAAUAGGGAUAGUUGGGGGCAUUAGUAUUCAAUUGUCAGAGGUGAAAUUCUUGGAUUUAUUGAAGACUAACUACUGCGAAAGCAUUUGCCAAGGAUGUUUUCAUUAAUCAAGAACGAAAGUUAGGGGAUCGAAGACGAUCAGAUACCGUCGUAGUCUUAACCAUAAACUAUGCCGACUAGGGAUCGGAUGAUGUUAAUUUUUAAUGACUCA